rnacentral:rRNA from 1 species
UUGGAUUUGUGGUUGGGUCUGUCGGUCCGGCACAUUGUGCGGGUACUUGAUGGACUCGUCCAUCCUUGGGUGGAAUCUGUGUGGCAUUAAGUUGUCGUGCAGGGGAUGCCCAUCGUUUACUGUGAAAAAAUUAGAGUGUUCAAAGCAGGCUUAUGCCGUUGAAUAUAUUAGCAUGGAAUAAUGAGAUAGGACCUUGGUACUAUUUUGUUGGUUUGCGCACCGAGGUAAUGAUUAAUAGGGACAGUUGGGGGUAUUCGUAUUCCAUUGUCGGAGGUGAAAUUCUUGGAUUUUUGGAAGACGAACUACUGCGAAAGCAUUUACCAAGGAUGUUUUCAUUAAUCAAGAACGAAAGUUAGGGGAUCGAAGAUGAUUAGAUACCAUC